rnacentral:rRNA from 1 species
CAGUCGACUCCUACGGGGAGGCAGCAGUGGGGAAUUUUGGACAAUGGGCGAAAGCCUGAUCCAGCAAUGCCGCGUGCAGGAUGAAGGCCUCGGGUUGUAAACUGCUUUGUACGGAACGAAAGCCUGGGGCUAAUAUACCCCGGGUCAUGACGGUACCGUAAGAAUAAGCACCGGCUAACUACGUGCCAGCAGCCGCGGUAAUACGUAGGGUGCAAGCGUUAAUCGGAAUUACUGGGCGUAAAGCGUGCGCAGGCGGUUUGUAAGACAGUGGUGAAAUCCCGGGCUCAACCUGGGAACUGCCAUUGUGACUGCAAGGCUAGAGUGCGGCAGAGGGGGAGUGGAAUUCCGCGUGUAGCAGUGAAAUGCGUAGAUAUGCGGAGGAACACCGAUGGCGAAGGCAAUCCCCUGGGCCUGCACUGACGCUCAUGCACGAAAGCGUGGGGAGCAAACAGGAUUAGAUACCCUGGUAG